UGUAAUGUUAGGCUGUGUGGGGCCAACCGCCUAUGUGCUAGAAUUAUGAGGUCUCUAUUGGUAAAUUAUUAAUUGUUUCUUGUUCCAAAUCACUAUAUAAGAGGUGUGACCCUUUUUGAUGCUAAACUAGCUACUAGAGGAAAUUUAUGCCUAAUAUUGAGUUAAGGCUUAGUGUUAUAUAUAAAUUUGCAUAAAAAUUCAAGGGCUAACCUAAUAUAUAUACUCGACUUGAAUAAGAGGUUAUAUUAUGAAAUAUUGCCUAGUAAGGUGGCUUAUGUUAUAAUUAGCUACUUCUAAAAUAUAUGAUUAUUAUUAGGAACCUAGAAGCCUAGUAAACUAGUUGGUGGAGGACUCUACUUGAUUAAAAUAUGGAAAUUAGUCCUUAAGGUUGUGACAUGCUUGGUGAUGAUAGAUCUAGUAUUGCAUGAUGGAUGAUAGUUAAAUUAUCUCCUAAUAUGUGAAGUUGAGAUGCCUUAAUUGAUAACUCAUGUCAUGAUGAUGCUAAUUAAAGAAUGGCCUUAUGAUAGUUGAAUAACCUAUACUAUGGGUGGCUUGUAGUUUUUCCCCCCAGUUUGAUGACUAGUGAUUUUAAGACUUGUAAUCUUUUGACUUUUUUAAAAAAUAAGGUUAAUUAGUAUGGACCUUGCGGUAUUUAUCAAUGAAUUAUAGAACUAAUGAUUACAUGCUAUGCUAUGACAAUGUUGCUUUAUUUAUGUUGAAUUAUGGUAUGGGUACUUGAAAGUGGAUUUCAGUAAUGAGUCAUGGCGGGGUUGUGCUACCCGCGACUUUUGAUAAAUUGAUGGAGUAGUUGUUCUUUAUGGUAUUAUUAGUUGCUUUCUUUUGUGUACCCUCCGGUGGUAUAGGACGCCGUGAUGAGUUCUUUGUUUUGCUCUCUUUCGUGUACUUCCCGGCGGUAUGGGACGUCGUGGUAAGUUCUUGUAUGUAUGUUCUAAAGAUUGUUGAUGAUGAUUAUGGCAAGUAGAUGUUUUGCUAUUGUGUAUAUGGUUGUAUGCUUUCGAAAUAAUACUCAGUUGUUAUGGUGAUUAUGGAGUAUAUUGAAAUAGUAUGUCAUGUUAUUGCUUUAAUAGUAUAGAUGUUGUUACAGUGGUAUCAAAGUAGAUNNNNNNNNNNNNNNNNNNNNNNNNNNNNNNNNNNNNNNNNNNNNNNNNNNNNNNNNNNNNNNNNNNNNNNNNNNNNNNNNNNNNNNNNNNNNNNNNNNNNNNNNNNNNNNNNNNNNNNNNNNNNNNNNNNNNNNNNNNNNNNNNNNNNNNNNNNNNNNNNNNNNNNNNNNNNNNNNNNNUGUCUUGUUAAGUAUAGAAGCUCUUGUAUUAAUACUAUCAGGUCGUGGGAUUUGUGUUUGAAUAUCUAUUGUCCUUAGUUGUGAAAUGUUGUUGUUAUAUGUUGUGUUCACAUAUAGGGUCUAAGUUGGACGUUCUUACCAAGGUAACCCAUUGCAAUAGCUCCGGAUUAUGGUAUCGGCUUACCUAACGGUGGGAUGUGGUAGGUGCCAUCAUGACUCAGAAAUCGGGUCGUGAUAAAUUGGUAUUAGAGCCUAGGUUUCACUGAUAUUAUUGAUACAAGAGCAAGUGUCUAAUAGAGUCCUGCAGAUUGGAACGUUGACUUCCAUUUUCUAUCUUUGGGAGGCUAUGUGACAUUCUUAGGAAUCCUUCAUUUUUCAUUCAUAGCGUGCUAAGAGUUUGAGUUGGUUUGUAGUGUCUUUUCAAUAACUCAAAAUUCGUCAUAGGGGGUGACUUGGGAACUUAGUUAUCAUCUUGUAUCACGAUUAUCUUCAAGAUCAAGGUAAGAAUUUCUUGAAUUCAUGCUUGAAUUUCUUCGUUUGGUCCCAAAAUCCCAAUUUAACUUGGGGCUUGAUUUUAGCCCAAGGUAUGCUUAGUUUUUACCCAUUAUUUGAGAAUUAUGAUUCCUUGUUCACAUGUGAACAUUGGGUUGGCUUCGGAAACUCGUUUUCCAUAUGUGGGAUCCACUUGGGGUUUUGGUAUCAUUUUUGGACUCGGAGCACAAUAGUGCAAUAUAGGUAUCAUUAGACUCGUAUUAAUGGGUAGAUUGUUAUUUUGAUAGUGUGAUGAUAUUUUUAGGAUUAUAAAGUGAAGAUGAGCAUGUGGUGAAUAAAGUGAGGUUUUGCGGUUUGGCCUUGAGGUAGGCUUCUGUCUACUUUUCUGCAUAGAUGAUGUGUGAUAUAUGUUGCGUGUGAAUAUGGAUGUUACGAUUAAUUAUGAGUAAGAUAGCUUAGCCUUGAUUAUUGAUGUUUUGGGAAGUUAGAUGAGGGUCUUGGACCCGCAAGAUAGUAUGCUUAUAACCUUGUAGACUCAUAUUGCCUUUUCCCUAGUUUAGAUUAAAUUGUAGCAUGUAUUUGAUACAUUGCUAGAUUAUAGAUGUGGUUUUAGUGUUGGUCCAACAUGAUUUGAAUAUUUGAUCUUAUUGGGCUAGUGUGGUAGUCUUGAAACCGUAAGUUGGGUAGAGUUAACUUGAGUGCCCUUAUUUCUAGUCAAAGUUGCUAUCUUAGGCUUGAAUAUGGUUUACUUGAUAUCUAGAAGAUGAACUAGAUACCUUAACCUAGUUUGGGGUAUAGUAUGCCAAAUUAUGAAAAUUAUGGAUUAGAAGUAGGAUCGUUCGGUCCACUUAGGUCUAAGAUUAUCUUAAGUCCUGUGGACUUAGUUGUGGAUGUUAGACAUAGAUGAGGCUAGUAAACCUUAGAAUAAGGUUACUUGGUAACUAGUAUUGAUGUUCCUGAAUUGUGGCUUUUGAUUUAUGGUUAUGAUACUCCUUGUAGAAGAGAUUGGACUAUAGAGAUGUUAUUUCCUCUUGGACUUAAUGAUUGUCCUAUAGAGUUGUUAUUUCCUCUUAGACUUGAUGAUUGGCCUACAUAGAUGUUAUCUCUUCUUAGACUUGAUAAUUCGCCGAUAGAGUUGCUAUUUCCUUAGUCAUGAUUGUUGGUCCUAUAAAGACUAUGUUCCUUUUGAAUAUGUAAAUUGGCUUAGAGAAGUGAUAUUCCUCAUUGUCAUGAUGUAUGAGCUAUUGAUAUAUGAUAUCCCGUAGACAAUUACAUGUCUAUCUGUAUUAUGCCUCCUAUAUGUAAGAUGUCUCCUAUAUAUGAGAUGUUUAGGGAUAUGCUACGACUUAUAAAUAUGAUUAUUGAUAUGAGUUCUGGAUAUGUGUAUGGGCAUAAAGCCAUGAUUAUGAUGUUGUGAUUAUUUUGGAUAGAUUAAUGAGCCAGGGGACAUGUUAUGAUAUUGAUUAUAUAGUCCAGAAGUGUUUAUCAUUAUAAACAAUGUGAUUACAGUUUAUGAAUAUAAAUAUAUAUGUGUGUAUACUCAUCUCUCUGGUAUGGGACGGAGGAAGAUGCAACAUGAUUUUUUUUUAUUCCACUGAUUGAAUAUGUAACACCUCGAUAAUUCUUAAUAUUUAUUUUAAUAUUUUACGUGAGUAUAACUCUUAAUCUAUGAAGCCUUGCGUGACAGAAUACUGAUAAUGGCAUGCAUAGAUUUGGCACAUUCGUGAUUAUUUACCAUUAUAACUGAUGUGAUUAUAGCUGAAAUGUGAUCUUCUGACUGCUCUUCUUGUUAGAUGGUUAAGCUAUGCGGUAACUAGUUGUCUAUUAGGGGAUUAUAGCACUUGAUGGUUAGGAAUCCAAUGUAUUAGUUAAUGAAUCUUGCUUAGUUCAAACAUAGUAACUAACGAUGGUUAGCUAAGAAAUAAUGACUGUUGAUAAAGAUGGUUGGGUGACAAGUAGUAAUGUGUUGUCUAGUAAUGAUUAACGGAUAUAGGAUGAGUAAUUGAUAAUAAUGAAUGGUGGAUAAAUGACGGUUUUGGUCUAAUGAUGAAUCUUGACUAGAUAUUAGAUGUUGACUGUUAAAUAAAUAGUGGUUAGUUGUUAUCCCGUGAAUUAAGGAUUAUGUGAAGGAUAAGAUUUGGGAUAAUAACUAGAGGUUAUGUGAUGACUAGCGAACUAGUGAUUCUAUUAUAAUAAGUGUUGUUUAACUAUUAACGAGUGAUUGGGAAGUAUUGACUAGAUAGAUAUUCUAUGGUGAUAUGAUUAUGUUUAUGAGUAUUUUAGCGUAUGUUAUUCGGUAAUGACUAUUGUAAUGCUCAUACUCGGCAAGGCCAGAGGAUAUAUGGAUGAUGCAUUGAUACCGGCAAGGCCGGUGAUUGAUUACGAUGAUGAUGGUCCUGAUGUGGACAAUUAUGAUGAGUUGUGAUAUUAAUCGUCUACCUUGCAUUCAUUCCUUCAUGCGCGUCGCCUAUCACCAAUAUGUGCCUAAUUCUAUCAGCCGGUAUGGGAUGGUUGCAUUGAUACAGGUAAAGAAUAUGCCUUAUGUUGUUGUGUGUUGAUUGAACCUUUCGAGUCUGGGGCGGUGAGGGUACGCAUAGGCUUGACUAGGUAUUUGGUUGUCCGGAGUAGCUGGUUAUUCAUGUUGUUAUUGAUAUUGUUGUUAUCAUUGUUAUGAUCAUUAUUAUGGCUACCUUAUGACAAAUUGGUCAUUGAUCCAGUAUUAAAAUUUAAGGUGCGUUUUCGGCCUCUCCUAUUUUAUGAUUGCAUUAUUAUGUAAGAUUAUUUCACGUCUAGCUAUGUGGAUUAGAAACCCUGAGUAUGAUAGUAUUUAAAUUCUGAUAAUCGUUAUAAUGAGGUCUUAAAUGAGAAUAUAAUGAUAGAGGUUAUGCUUUGAGACGACCUCAUGUUUAUAUGUAUAUAUUUAUAUAUAUAUCUAGCUAUAUGAAGAUAUAGCACUACCGUAUAUCCCUUCCUUCGUUGUUCAUUUUGUAUAGUCAUUACUUCGCCUUGUGUAUUAUUAUAUAUCUUUCUUUUGCUCCUUAUUCGUAUAUGUACCUGGGAUAUAUGGUAUAAUAUUGACGUAUAUUGAAUGUAGCUUGAAUAAGAUAGUUCACCGUCAUACUUCCUUAGUCUUAUUAUGUUAGACUCUUGGACAUGAUCAUGAUAGUUUUCCCUUAUUAUUCUCAUUAACUCAUUAUAUAAUUUCUGGACUCUUGGGUGUAGUUUUCAUUCUAUUUAUAUGUUGUGUAUAUCUGUUUUGUCCCUUUUGAGAUUCUCCAUGUAGUCAGCAAGGUGGCCUAUGAGUUAACUUUACCUCCAUACUUUGCUGCUGUUCACCCAGUUUUUCAUGUCUCCAUGCUGCAGAAGUAUAUUUCUAACCCGUCACAAGUGCUUAGGUGGGACUCAGUCUAGUUAGAUGGGCAGUUAACCUUUGUAGAGGAGCCCGCACUUAUUUUUGCUAGUGAUGUGAGGAGGUUGCAUACUAGAGAGAUUCCUGUAGUUAAGGUUCAAUGGAAGUACCACCUAGUGAAGGAGGCCACUUAGUGGUUAGCGGGUGAGAUGUGAGCCUAGUAUCCUCAACUAUUCGAGAAUUCAAGUAUUUCCUCACCUUUAACUUUCGAGGACGAAAGUUCCUUAGUAGUGGAUGUUGUAAUGACCUUUCAGGUCAUUAGCCGUAUUCUUGCUUAUUUUGCUGAUAGAGCUCCUCCAUAGCUAUCCCAAGUCAUUAGUGACUUGCUAGAAUUGAUAGUUCAGUUACUUGACAGUUCGUUUAGUUUUUAGAACCACUUUUAUAAAUGGAAGUCUUCGUCGAUUCCAAACGGCCGCCAAACAAAAUUUCAGUAAAAUAAUUUUGCAUGCAAAGCUCGACUGUGCCAACAUCUAUGUAAGAUCAAUUUUAGGAUAGAUAGACCCUUGGUUCGGAUCCCAUAGCACCCGAGCUCAUUUCAACCAAUUAGUCGAAAAGUCAAAUAUCAAAAUAUAGGGGUGUGGGACCCAUAAGUAGUCUAAAUGACCUCGUAUGAAAAAUUUGACUUCACCAAUGCAUCCAGAAUGUCGAAUUUAGUGGGGUUACAUACUUCGUUUGCAAAAAACGGAGUCCGACUAAGUUCGGAAGGUCAAAAAUAAAUUUUGACCUUGCGGGCCCAUCUAAAACUGUAUAAAAAGGGGCUUUUGACAGAUUUUGAGCAUUCCUAACUUCUAUUAAAGCCCUAGUAGCCCUAAAAGAGUGGUGACUUAAAAAUUGGUCUUGUGGGUUGAUUGGAAACUUAAACAACUUGUGUAAUCCAUCUUUUUACUACAAAUCCAAGGUAAGAAUUCCUCUAAUUUGAUAUUAAGUUCAUUAUUUCUUGACUCAAAGUCCUAAAUCAUUGUGGGUCAAUUGUAUCCCCAAAAAUUGAGUGUUUGACUCAAAUUUCUUGAGGGUUUUUAACUCCCUAAAGAUAAUUAGUCUAUGGUUGGUCUUGGAAACUCCUUUCCAAGGGUAAAACCUAAUUGGGGUUUUGGUGUAUAUUUGAAACCCAUGGCACAAUGAUGCUAUAAUGGGUAUUUUUAUUCUUAUUGUAAUGCUUACAUUAUAUUGUUGAUAGCAUUGCUUGUGGAGGAGGAAGCUUUUCGGAAAGAAAAGGAAAGCUCGUUGGUUCGUGAGUUGCUUGGAUUCAAGGUAGGUUAGGUUUACCCGUUGUAUAGAUUGAGCUUGUUUGUAAUGUAAUCAUUGAUAUCUUACGAGAUUGGGCGGGGAAUUCAGACGAUAGUUGAUUAAAUGGUAAACUUGGGAUUUAUUAAUUCCUAUAGGCCAUGAAUUUGUAAGGUAUGAUAUUUAACCCUUAGCCUAGGACCUUGGUUAGCUUAAUUGUGGUCUCAUGAGUAGUGUGUGAACAUUAUAGUUGUCUAAGUAGACAUGAAUGGUAUACUUCUCUAUCCUUAGGAGUGUAUUGACCUAUAUAAAAUGCCUAGAUAGGAUAUGACCUUGGUGUUGGGUUGUCUUAGGAAGAAUACUUGAAGAAGAUUUCUCCUAUAUGCUUAGUAAGGAUUGAUAAGCCCUUAUGUUGUGACUUAGAUAACCUAGCCUAAAUCCGGGUAGAAGUUUGUCUUGUAGAAGUGACUUUACUAUUAGUGGGAGUUAGAAGUGGGACUUGACCCACCCUAAGCUUGAACUAUGUAACUCCUUGGUAACCUAGAUACUUGAUGAGCGUCUAAAUUAUGUUUUUGAGAUUAUAAGGGUUAAACCCGGUUGUCGGUUUAUGAAUAAGGUCGAUGGUUGAAAAAUGUGUAUUCUUGAUUGUUGUCUUAUUACCGUGUUAUGGAUAGACAAGGAAAUAUGGUAAUUGUGUAUGUCAUCUAGAUACUCAUGCCUAUGCUUCUACUCACAUGUCAUGAUGCUGACUAGUAAUACAAUGUGAUGGUUUAUGCAUCUUACAUCUCUAUUACUCGAUUAUUGUGAACUUGUGUAUGUUUAUUGAUUUGAGGCCAUUUAUGUGUGUAUGUUGUUGUCUUGAAAAAUAUUGAUACAAUGAUGAUGCCCGGUAAAUUCGAAGGAAUUAUUGAUACCAUGAUGGUGCCCGGUUAAUCCGAAGGAAUAUGUGAUAUUAUGAUGAUGCCCGGUUCAAGCCCAGAGAAAUAUGUGAUAUUAUGAUGAGGCUCGGUUCGAGUCCGGAGGAAUGUGUGAUAUUAUGAUGAUGCCCGGUUCGAGUUUUGAGGAAUGUGUGAUAUUAUGAUGAUGGCCGGUUCGAGUCCGAAGGAAUGUGUGAUAUUAUUGAUUUGAGGCCAUUUAUGUGUGUAUGUUGUUGUCUUGAAAAUAUUGAUACAAUGAUGAUGCCCGGUAAAUCCAGAGGAAUUAUUGAUACUAUGAUGGUGCCCGGUUAAUCCGAAGGAAUAUGUGAUAUUAUGAUGAUGCCCGGUUCAAGUUCGGAGAAAUAUGUGAUAUUAUGAUGAUGCUCGGUUCGAGUUCGGAGGAAUGUGUGAUAUUAUGAUGAUGCCGGUUCAAGUCCGGAGGAAUGUGUGAUAUUAUGAUGAUGCCGGUUCAAGUCCGGAGGAAUGUGUGAUAUUAUGAUGAUGCCGGUUCAAGUCCGGAGGAAUGUGUGAUAUUAUGAUGAUGCCCGGUUCGUGUUUUGAGGAAUGUGUGAUAUUAUGAUGAUGGCCGGUUCGAGUCCGAAGGAAUGUGUGAUAUUAUGAUGAUGCCCGGUUCGAGUCCGGAGGAAUGUGUGGUAUUAUGAUGAUGGCCGGUUCAAAUCCGGAGGAAUGUGUGAUAUUAUGAUGAUGCUCAUGAAUUCGGUGGAAUAUGCUAAUAUUGUGAUGAUGUUCGGUGAAUCCGGAAGAGGUAAGAACAUUUUGAUGCCAUGUGGGGCAAAUUUCUUAUAUGCAUAGAUAUUUGUAAGGUUAGGCCAUGUGGGGCCAACCGCCUAUGUGCUAGAAUUAUGAGGUCUCUAUUGAUAAAUUAUUAAUUGUUUCUUGUUCCAAAUCACUAUAUAAGAGGUGUGACCCUUUUUGAUGCUAAACUAGCUACUAGAGGAAAUUUAUGCCUAAUAUUGAGUUAAGGCUUAGUGUUAUAUAUAAAUUUGCAUAAAAAUUCAAGGGCUAACCUAAUAUAUAUACUCGACUUGAAUAAGAGGUUAUAUUAUAAAAUAUUGCCUAGUAAGGUGGCUUAUGUUAUAAUUAGCUACUUCUAAAAUAUAUGAUUAUUAUUUGGAACCUAGAAGCCUAGUAAACUAGUUGGUGGACUUUACUCGAUUAAAAUAUGGAAAUUAGUCCUUAAGGUUGUGACAUGCUUGGUGAUGAUAGAUCUAGUAUUGCGUGAUGGAUAGUCAAAUUAUCUCCUAAUAUGUGAAGUUGAGAUGCCUUAAUUGAUAACUCAUGUCAUGAUGAUGCUAAUUAAAGAAUGGCCGUAUGAUAGUUGAAUAACCUAUACUAUGGGUGGCUUGUAGUUUUUUUCCCCAGUUUGAUGACUAG
rnacentral:lncRNA from 1 species